CUAAGGAUGAUCCUUCAGCUUAGCUUCGGCUAACUAUCGGAUCGUUUUAGAAACAUCAGUGGCCAACAAUCGUCAGGAUUGUUGAGCUGCAUUGGCGGGAUUUCGCCGUCUUCGUUUCUCUUUCUUCGCGGACGAACACGCGCUGGGCCUGCGUGAGCAGGGUCCCUGGUCCUUGACGGGAUAUGCGUUAGGGGCUUGUAGCUCAAUUGGUUAGAGCGCGCGCUUGAUAAGCGUGAGGUCGGAAGUUCAAGUCUUCCCAGGCCCACCAGCCUUCGCGCUUCGCUGCUUCGGCUAGGCAAGCCCUUCAAGAUGAAGGCUGCCGCGCCGUAGCCUUGGCGAAGGCGGGCUAAUCAAACGAGCAUUCGUCUUCUGGUUACGGGGCCAUAGCUCAGCUGGGAGAGCGCGUGCUUUGCAAGCAUGAGGUCGUCGGUUCGAUCCCGUCUGGCUCCACCAGAUGGUUUGAUCAUCGACUGAUCGUGUACCUGAAUCGUCCGCGAAACAUCACUUCUCACUUGCUAGUCCGGAUGGACGGCAUGCUGCGUGAUUUCUGACAUCGUAAAGAGGAGAUCGAUCCGAGUUGGAUCGUGCAGAGAAUAUCUGCGCGAGACUUCAUUAUCUCCGGAUCAUUUCGGCGCUCGUGCGUCUUUCAGGGUAGCUCACAAGGCUGCGUUUGAAAGAUGGGCGAGUUGUAAAUGAUCCUUUUAGCGAAGCUUGACCGCCUCGCUAUCGGAACGAUCUUACGAAGCAAGCUGGUCUUUCUAAUCAUUGUCCGGCUGCAGAUAGCGUUCAUCGAGGGCGCGUGCCGCAAGGUAAUUCUGCAGACAACAUUCUGCCGAGUGUGUGGACAUUGAUAAUGAGAGC
rnacentral:tRNA from 1 species